CUGUAAAAGUGAUGAUAUUCAUGUCUCUUCUCUGACAAAGCACUGGAGAGAAUGUGUAUACCUCUGAUCCCAGCAG
rnacentral:snoRNA from 1 species